rnacentral:rRNA from 1 species
UACGUAGGGUGCGAGCGUUGUCCGGAAUUAUUGGGCGUAAAGGGCUCGUAGGCGGUUUGUCGCGUCGGGAGUGAAAACCUCGGGCUUAACUCGGGGCUUGCUUUCGAUACGGGCAGACUGGAGGUAUGCAGGGGAGAACGGAAUUCCUGGUGUAGCGGUGAAAUGCGCAGAUAUCAGGAGGAACACCGGUGGCGAAGGCGGUUCUCUGGGCCGAUACUGACGCUGAGGAGCGAAAGCGUGGGGAGCAAACAGG